UACGGAGGGUGCAAGCGUUAUCCGGAUUUACUGGGUUUAAAGGGUGCGCAGGCGGAUAUGUAAGUCAGUGGUGAAAUCUCUGGGCUUAACCCGGAAAUUGCCAUUGAUACUAUAUAUCUUGAAUGCUGUGGAGGUAAGCGGAAUAUGUCAUGUAGCGGUGAAAUGCUUAGAUAUGACAUAGAACAUCUAUUGCGAAGGCAGCUUACUACGCAGAUAUUGACGCUCAUGCACGAAAGCGUGGGGAUCAAACAGG
rnacentral:rRNA from 1 species